AACAAACAAACAAAAAACCCCAGGACACUCUGUUGUCUUGUCACUGUCCCUCACAUGUUCUGUGACCCCAGACAAACCACUUCCCUUAUCUGAGCCUCAGUUUCCCCAUCUGCAGCCCAGCACAGUCCCAGCACAGAACACAUGUUCAAUAAAUGAAUCAUGGAGAUCUCUAGUUAACCUGUAGGACUCCAGCCAGCUCGAGAGAUCUAUUAAUACAAUUCUACCCACGAUUCUGCUCUUUCGAAAGUGCAGCUUUCUUAGUUGAGUUCUUCCAGAUGCAGACUUUGAGAUGAGGCUUCAUCUGCAAGCAAUUUAUUAAGGAGUGCUUCCUGAAGACCAGCAGGGAAAAGAAGCUACAGUGUGGUGUCAAGCAAGACCCAGCCUCAGCCUGAUCAAACCAGGUGCUCUGGAGAAUGCAUUAUGACUUUGUGCUAUGGAGAAUGCAUUAUGACUUCGUACCUCAAUGCAAGACAGCUGGGCUCUCACAGUUCUGGGCCCACCAGUCACUGGCUAUGGGGCCACCUGGGAGGGGUGUGUGAAUUCCCAGGCACUUGCAUCUCUGCAGGAGUGCAAGGGCGGGCCCCUGAAGUAGGUUUAAGUGAUCGCUCUUGGAGGUGAAGCAUAACGAAGCUGGGGGAGCAACAAGAAAUACCUUCAUCUUUUUAGAGAAGAGUGAAAUUGAAGCCAGAGAGGUUGGUUAACUUGCCCAAGAUCACAAAGCUUCCAAGAUGAAGAGCUGGGAUUUCAUUUCAGGUUUCCCAUCUGGCAACAUCCAAGCCCUUUCCAUAAUUCCACACUGUGAAUUUGCUUCCCAAACCAAGAGUGGGAUACAAUUAGCUGGGGAGUGCAACUCAUCCCUCAAUCACUGAUCUGAGUAUGGAUAUCAAAAGAAACAUUUCCUGAAGCAAGACGCUGAGCUGGAAGCUUCCACGGUUGUGCCUAUACUGUGGCAGUCCUGCGCGAACCUGUCCGGCCCCAUGGAAACCUGCAGGGCUGAGGUCUCCCAGGGCAAAUGGGGCUGCAGGAUGCUCACUACACCCCCAGAAACAGGAGAAGGGACAAGGACACAGGACUGUCUGUGAGCAACACUGACUUUCGGCACAGGAGAGAUCCUUUGCCCCUCCUCACUCCAGAAUAUUGCUAAGAACAUAAUUGAUCUCUCUCCUUCUCAUUCACUCACAUCUCCCAAAACAAAGGAAGAGAGACCCAUUCAACUGAUCAGAGCCUGACUUUCCAUUGCUGAGCCAUGUUUUACUACUGAGUGGGGCAACUGCUUUAAAAAUCCAUUUGUUGCUGCAUUUUCUUGCCAGCUAUUUCUUCAUUUACAGGGUUCUGAGAGGCCUGGCCUCUGCUUCCUCCGCCCAUCCAAUAAGUACCACCUGUCUGUUGAGGGGCUCAGUGGCUUCAAGGUUUCAACCCUGGCUACAUCAUGGAACCAUCUGGGGAGCUUUCCAAGUACUGAUGCCUGAACCUUAGUCACAGAUUAAUGGAAACCUGAGGAAUGGGGACCCAUGACCUGGAGUCUGUAAGGCUUCCCCAUUGAUGUGAUGCUUGGUGAAAUCUGUUUGGGACGUCACAGAAUUAUCAUCUAGAACACAGGUAAUCACUUUCCAAUAUUCUUUGAGACGGAGUCUCACUCUGUCGCCAGGCUGGAGUAGAGUGCGUGAUCUCGGCUCACUGCAAC
rnacentral:lncRNA from 1 species